CCGCAGAUUAGUCAAGAGAAUCUACCUUUCGCACCUUUUAUUUUAAACCAACACCACAUGCGGCUUGUUCCUUUAUUCAAGAGCGUUAAAACAGCAAAUAUGAAGCCUCCUGUCUUGCCAUAAAAUUAGGGAUUAUUCUAGUUUACAGUGAACGAAUAAUCUAAAUUUUAUUAAAGACAGGAGGCGAAUAUUUUCCCUCCCUUCGUUCACUCUGGAACCCACCCUACAGGUAA